rnacentral:rRNA from 1 species
CCUACGGGCGGCAGCAGUGAGGAAUAUUGGUCAAUGGACGAGAGUCUGAACCAGCCAAGUAGCGUGAAGGAUGACUGCCCUAUGGGUUGUAAACUUCUUUUAUAUGGGAAUAAAAUGUUCCACGUGUGGGAUUUUGUAUGUACCAUAUGACUACGGAUCGGCUAACUCCGUGCCAGCAGCCGCGGUAAUACGGAGGAUCCGAGCGUUAUCCGGAUUUAUUGGGUUUAAAGGGAGCGUAGGUGGAUUGUUAAGUCAGUUGUGAAAGUUUGCGGCUAAACCGUAAAAUUGCAGUUGAAACUGGCAGUCUGGAGUACAGUAGAGGUGGGCGGAAUUCGUGGUGGAGCGGUGAAAUGCUUAGAUAUCACGAAGAACUCCGAUUGCGAAGGCAGCUCACUGGACUGCAACUGACACUGAGGCUCGAAAGUGUGGGUAUCAAACAGGAUUAGAUACCCUUGUAGUC